AACGAACGCUUUUCAAAAUUUCUUAUCGAGACAUGUAAUUACAUGUGAUGAAAUUUUACAUUACCGCAGUAUAGACGCGACCACAUGAUCAAUAAUCUGAAAACGACCAUAUCAUUCAGCCUAUCAACCACCACAACUGAUUAGUAUUGAAAUUUCAAUUUGAGGACAGCCAACACUCGACCAGGAUUAUGGACGCGCGGUGAAUGUUGUAUUCCAUAGCUGGUGCACCAUGUUAAACAUGUAUGAGACGCAGGUUAAAAUGUUGAAGAUAAGCUAUCGCGAAUUAUGAAAGCGAAGGGGGCACAAAGGAAACAGAUAUUUUGAAAUAUGUAAUUUUUCAUGAAUGACG
rnacentral:misc_RNA from 1 species